AGAAGACAAUGUUAAGAUACAGAAUAAUAAGACCAGUUAUUCAUACAUUUAAAUAGUUGAGUUGCCUUCAGAAUCUUUAAAAACCAUUCCUUUUAUUGGGGAGGGAGGGAUCCGCAACCAAAUCUUGCUAAAAUGAAAAUACAUGAAAGUAAAUAGAGAAUGCAUGAAACUCCACAAGCAUCAGAAGAGCUCAAAACAGCAAGGCCCAAGAAGAUCAGAGCUAAAUGAACAAAGAUCAGAGGUAAAUGAAGUGAAGAAAACAUUCCAGCCUCCUAUUGCAAACAGAAAUCCACCAAAAAAGCAUAGGAAAAAGAAAAUAGAAUGGAAAGAAAAACCAUAGAGCAGGAAAGAAAUCAUCCACACACUCCAAGAAGAUGGCCACAGUAAACCAGUCUACCUAGAAAC